rnacentral:rRNA from 1 species
GAGUUUGAUCGUGGCUCAGAACGAACGUUGGCGGCGUGCUUAACACAUGCAAGUCGAACGAGAACGGUUUCUUCGGAGACCUAGUAAAGUGGCGCACGGGUGAGUAACGCGUAAGUAAUCUACCUUUGCAUUUGGAAUAACUACGGGAAGCUGUAGCUAAUACCAAAUACGUUUAUAUAGUUACGACCACAUAAAGAAAGAUGGCCUCUUCUUGAAAGCUAUCGUGCAGAGAGGAGCUUGCGUACCAUUAGCUAGUUGGUAGGGUAAUGGCCUACCAAGGCAACGAUGGUUAGCGGGUCUGAGAGGAUGAUCCGCCACACUGGAACUGGAACACGGACCAGACUCCUACGGGAGGCAGCAGGUGAGGAAUAUUGCGGCAAUGGGGGAAACCCUGACGCAGCGACGCCGCGUGGAUGAUGAA